CCCCUCUCAGGAUCACACCUGGAGAGUUUCCAGUAUUCUACCAGUCUCCAUUACAGGAGGGAGAGUCAAGCAGAGGCCUACCCAUUCAUUUCUAGCUUGGCCAGUGGCUAGUGAGUGGAAGGCUAUCUGUUACAGGU